rnacentral:rRNA from 1 species
UGACCUCAAAUCAGGUAGGACUACCCGCUGAACUUAAGCAUAUCAAUAAGCGGAGGAAAAGAAACUAACAAGGAUUCCCCUAGUAACUGCGAGUGAAGAGGGAAAAGCUCAAAUUUAAAAUCUGGCAGCUCCGCUGUCCGAGUUGUAAUUUAGAGAAGUGUUACCCGCGCUGGAC